rnacentral:tRNA from 1 species
GGGAAGGUGGCUCAGUGGGAGAGCGCUUGCCUUGCAUGCAUGAGGCCCUGGGUUC